rnacentral:rRNA from 1 species
GCCCUUGGAAGGGAUGUAUUUAUUAGAUUAAAAACCAAUGCCCUUCGGGGCUCACUGGUGAUUCAUGAUAACUCCUCGAAUCGCAUGGCCUUGUGCCGGCGAUGGUUCAUUCAAAUUUCUUCCCUAUCAACUUUCGAUGUUUGGGUAUUGGCCAAACAUGGUUGCAACGGGUAACGGAGGGUUAGGGCUCGACCCCGGAGAAGGAGCCUGAGAAACGGCUACUACAUCCAAGGAAGGCAGCAGGCGCGCGAAUUACCCAAUCCCGACACGGGGAGGUAGUGACAAUAAAUACUGAUACAGGGCUCUUUUGGGUCUUGUAAUUGGAAUGAGUACAAUUUAAAUCCCUUAACGAGGAACAAUUGGAGGGCAAGUCUGGUGCCAGCAGCCGCGGUAAUUCCAGCUCCAAUAGCGUAUAUUAAAGUUGUUGUGGUUAAAAAGCUCGUAGUUGAACCUUGGGCCUGGCUGGCCGGUCCGCCUCACCGCGUGUACUGGUCUGGCCGGGCCUUUCCCUCUGUGGAACCCCAUGCCCUUCACUGGGUGUGGCGGGGAACCAGGACUUUUACAAGGGC